rnacentral:lncRNA from 1 species
GCGGCCGUAUGGGAGAAGAUCAGUCAAUUGAAAGGGAGCUCGUCUUGGCUUACAAUUCAGGCCGACUAUGAUCGGGACUGGUCGAAGAAAUUCUCUGACCUCCAGAAGCAGCUACAGGAUGCCAAGGUAAAUUACAAUGCCUACCAAGUCAGCUGGUGUGGGCAAGUAGACGACUACAGAAGGAGGCUCAAGAUGGCGACCGACG